rnacentral:rRNA from 1 species
UACGUAGGGGGCAAGCGUUGUCCGGAUUUAUUGGGCGUAAAGAGCGUGUAGGCGGCCAGACAGGUCUGCUGUGAAAACUCGAGGCUCAACCUCGAGAUGUCGGCGGAAACCUUCUGGCUAGAGUCCGGAAGAGGAGAGUGGAAUUCCUGGUGUAGCGGUGAAAUGCGCAGAUAUCAGGAAGAACACCUAUGGCGAAGGCGGCGACCUGGGUCGACACUGACGCUGAGGCGCGAAAGCGUGGGGAGCAAACAGG